AGUGAACGCUGGCGGCGUGCCUAAUACAUGCAAGUCGAACGAUGAAGUCCUAGCUUGCUAGGAUGGAUUAGUGGCGCACGGGUGAGUAAUAUAUAGUUAAUCUGCCCUACACAGAGGAACAACAGUUGGAAACGGCUGCUAAUACCUCAUACUCCUAUUUGAUAUAAGUUAAAUAGGGAAAGUCUUUUCGGUGUAGGAUGAGACUAUAUCGUAUCAGCUAGUUGGUAAGGUAAUGGCUUACCAAGGCUAUGACGCGUAACUGGUCUGAGAGGAUGAUCAGUCACAUUGGAACUGAGACACGGUCCAAACUCCUACGGGAGGCAGCAGUAAGGAAUAUUGCGCAAUGGGGGAAACCCUGACGCAGCAACGCCGCGUGGAGGAUGACACUUUUCGGAGCGUAAACUCCUUUUAUCAGGAAAGAAUAAUGACGGUACCUGAUGAAUAAGCACCGGCUAACUCCGUGCCAGCAGCCGCGGUAAUACGGGGGGUGCAAGCGUUACUCGGAAUCACUGGGCGUAAAGGACGCGUAGGCGGAUUAUCAAGUCUUUUGUGAAAUCUAGUGGCUUAACCACUAAACUGCUUAGGAAACUGAUAGUCUAGAGUAGGGGAGAGGUAGAUGGAAUUCUUGGUGUAGGGGUAAAAUCCGUAGAGAUUAAGAAGAAUACCCAUUGCGACAGCGAUCUGCUGGAACCUAACUGACGCUGAGGCGUGAAAGCGUGGGUAGCAAACAGG
rnacentral:rRNA from 1 species